UCCUGAGUAGCUAGGAUUACAGGCAUGAGGCACCUGCAUCCAGUAGUUUUUAGGUUUUUAAUGCACAAGUUUCACAUGUUUUCAUGGGGUCACUUAUAGAGGAAAUGAUAAUACAUAUCCCAAAUUCCAUAUGUUGCAUUAAGCAAAAUAUAUGCAGGGAAAGUCCUGAGUCUCCUUAUGUAGUUCAGGUCUAGAACGCUUGAUCCUCCUGCCUCUGUGUCCUGAGUGCUGAGAUUACCUUGUGGACAGCUUGUGGAACACACACCAUGCCAAAGGGGGAUAAGAGGAGGAUGUACUGUGUACUACCAUACACAAAGCAGUCAUUUCUUACCGACCAUAUUAAUUAUAUUGGAGAGCAGGAGGUGUUUUCAGCAACCUAAUAUAUUUCCUACUUACAUAGAUAUAGUUUGCUUUGUUUUAUUAAUAUGCAAUACAUUGACUGGAUGUUUCAGAUGAUCUAUAUAUAACACAUCUAAACUUUUUUCCGUUAAAAUAAUGGACCCAAGUGCAAUUGUGGCUAUCAGGAGGAUCUGAGCUCAGGAGUUCAAGGCCAAUCUAGAAAACAUAGUAAGAUA